rnacentral:rRNA from 1 species
GUUGAACGCUGGCGGCAGGCCUAACACAUGCAAGUCGAGCGGAUGAAGGGAGCUUGCUCCUGGAUUCAGCGGCGGACGGGUGAGUAAUGCCUAGGAAUCUGCCUGGUAGUGGGGGAUAACGUCCGGAAACGGGCGCUAAUACCGCAUACGUCCUGAGGGAGAAAGUGGGGGAUCUUCGGACCUCACGCUAUCAGAUGAGCCUAGGUCGGAUUAGCUAGUUGGUGGGGUAAAGGCCUACCAAGGCGACGAUCCGUAACUGGUCUGAGAGGAUGAUCAGUCACGCUGGAACUGAGACACGGUCCAGACUCCUACGGGAGGCAGCAGUGGGGAAUAUUGGACAAUGGGCGAAAGCCUGAUCCAGCCAUGCCGCGUGUGUGAAGAAGGUCUUCGGAUUGUAAAGCACUUUAAGUUGGGAGGAAGGGCAGUAAGUUAAUACCUUGCUGUUUUGACGUUACCAACAGAAUAAGCACCGGCUAACUUCGUG